GACGAACGCUGGCGGCGUGCUUAACACAUGCAAGUCGAACGGAAAGGCCCUGCUUUUGUGGGGUGCUCGAGUGGCGAACGGGUGAGUAACACGUGAGUAACCUGCCCUUGACUUUGGGAUAACUUCAGGAGACUGGGGCUAAUACCGGAUAGGAGCUCCUGCUGCAUGGUGGGGGUUGGAAAGUUUCGGCGGUUGGGGAUGGACUCGCGGCUUAUCAGCUUGUUGGUGGGGUAGUGGCUUACCAAGGCUUUGACGGGUAGCCGGCCUGAGAGGGUGACCGGCCACAUUGGGACUGAGAUACGGCCCAGACUCCUACGGGAGGCAGUAGUGGGGAAUAUUGCACAAUGGGCGGAAGCCUGAUGCAGCAACGCCGCGUGCGGGAUGACGGCCUUCGGGUUGUAAACCGCUUUCGCCUGUGACGAAGCGUGAGUGACGGUAAUGGGUAAAGAAGCACCGGCUAACUACGUG
rnacentral:rRNA from 1 species